AACUCUUUAAUUCCCCACCAUUUAUACCCCCUUUCCAUUGCUCAUUUCAUGCCCUCAUUCUUCAUUCAACUAUCUUCUUCAUUUUCUUUUUCUUCCUCUCUCAACUUUGCUAUCUUCAUCUUAUUUUUUAAUAAAUUAAUUUUUGAUGGGUUGGAAAGAUUUGUCAAAAGUGAAGUGGAGGAGGAGAAUGAGGAAGGAGUUAGUUAGGAGGAAGAUCAAGAAAUUGGAAAGGAUAAUUCCGGGAGGCGGCGGGUUGGAGGAGGACCGCCUUUUUGAUCGGGCGGCGGAGCACAUCUUGCAAUUGAGGUUGCAACUAAAUGCAUUGGAGGCUCUUACCAAGAUCUUCAACGCCUGAUUAUUACAAACCUUAAUUACCACGGUUUAAUAAAGUUUGUAUCAUUAUUUAUUAUAUUAUCAUCAUUAUUUAUAUAUACCUUCCUAAAUCCAACCUUAAUUACCACGGUUUAAUAAAGUUUGUAUCAUUAUUUAUUAUAUUAUCAUCAUUAUUUAUAUAUACCUUCCUAAAUCCAACCUUAAUUACCACGGUUUAAUAAAGUUUGUAUCAUUAUUUAUUAUAUUAUCAUCAUUAUUUAUAUAUACCUUCCUAAAUCCAACCUUAAUUACCACGGUUUAAUAAAGUUUGUAUCAUUAUUUAUUAUAUUAUCAUCAUUAUUUAUAUAUACCUUCCUAAAUCCAACCUUAAUUACCACGGUUUAAUAAAGUUUGUAUCAUUAUUUAUUAUAUUAUCAUCAUUAUUUAUAUAUACCUUCCUAAUUGCAUCUAUUGUAAUGAGAAUAUAUAAAUUGCAUCUACUUUAAUUGCAUCUAUUGUAAUGAGAAUAUAUCAAUAAAUAAAUUAAUAAAAUCAUCAUUAU
rnacentral:lncRNA from 1 species